rnacentral:rRNA from 1 species
ACACUCCUACGGGAGGCAGCAGUGGGGAAUUUUGGACAAUGGGCGAAAGCCUGAUCCAGCAAUGCCGCGUGAGUGAAGAAGGCCUUCGGGUUGUAAAGCUCUUUUGUCAGGGAAGAAACGGUGAGAGCUAAUAUCUUUUGCUAAUGACGGUACCUGAAGAAUAAGCACCGGCUAACUACGUGCCAGCAGCCGCGGUAAUACGUAGGGUGCAAGCGUUAAUCGGAAUUACUGGGCGUAAAGCGUGCGCAGGCGGUUUUGUAAGUCUGAUGUGAAAUCCCCGGGCUCAACCUGGGAAUUGCAUUGGAGACUGCAAGGCUAGAAUCUGGCAGAGGGGGGUAGAAUUCCACGUGUAGCAGUGAAAUGCGUAGAUAGGUGGAGGAACACCGAUGGCGAAGGCAGCCCCCUGGGUCAAGAUGGACGCUCAUGCACGAAAGCGUGGGGAGCAAACAGGAUUAGAAACCCGUGUAGUCCCAUGA